ensembl:lncRNA
CACUGGUAAGAUGAUCUCUGUGAGUUUGAAGCCAUCCAGGGCUACAUAGUGAGAUCCUGUCUCAAGCCAAGAAACAGUCAAGACAACCCUAUCUGAUCUGGACGAGUCCUUGUUUGAGACUGCUUUCUCAGGUAACUCUAGGCUGGGCAAGCCUAGACGUAGAUGUGAGUGAAUAUAUGGAAGCAUUAAAAACACUUCACUUAUAUAAAUUACGGUGGGUUAUUACGUGUAUCUUUUGCUUUAAGACAGGUACGUCUUCCAAAGCUCUAAUUUGCAAACCAUAGGAUGCACUGCAUAAAUACUCUAGGGACUUCCAGUUUAAAAGGUGACCUGUGAACAUAUUGGAUGGCUUAGUCAUACCACACCAACGCCAUUUUUGUAGGGAAGUCCUUCUUAAUGACUUUUUAGGCUGCUAACCACCUGUGUUCAUUUUCGCUUUCAGUCGAGAUCUGAAGUUAAGUGAGAAUGACCCUCUUAGGACAAGGCCACAUUUAUCUGGGGACAGUCUGUGUUAAGAAAGGAAAGGUUCUUUAAAGGUGGUGGCAGGAGAUUGGUGACAAGGACUCUAUUGGGCCCUAGUCUGAUACCGAUUCCCAAAACGAGUGGGUUGUCCAGAAAGAUGUGUUGCCCCUGCCAAAUGAAAACAGGGUCAAGGAUUUCUUGUCAGUUUUACAUGUCUAGAGUGUCCCAUGUAGGUAGGGAUGGUGGACAGGAGACCAUUUAUGCAUCGAGUUCAAGCGCCAUCUGUUUUCUCAAACAGUAAGAUAUUUGGAGAAAUAGUUAUGUAAUGUGUGAAGGUAUACUCAUUUCUCUGAAUUUCAAGGCCACACAGAAUGGCGGAUCCAGUUAUCAAACAGAGACCACCUGCCCUGUGUGAGUAUCCCACGUGUUCCACGAAAGCCUCUCAUAGGCUCCACACAAUUCAUACUCUGUGCCAUUUGCCGCCAGUGACCACGGCAUAGCCACUGCCCGGGGCGGGGGCGGGAGUGGGGAGGACUGACCAAGUACUUAGUUCAACACCAUUGCGAACCAAGACACCUGCCGUCUGCCCCGUGGGCUCUCAUGACAAGUCAGCCUGUCGUUUUCUUGACGUUCGUUUUUCUGUUGAGUAAAAGAAAAUGUCAAGUGAAACAAAACCCAUUGGUGUCUGGACAUCAGGUGUCUGCACUGUUGUGGAUUAAAAGUGUAAGAUCUGGGCACACUGAGCUCUAAGGAACAAUCAGGUCGGAGGUUGGUGGAUGGUUUUGAGCUGACAUGGUUCAUCCUGAACUGACUGCUGUCCCCCUGCCCAGGGGCCCCUCUCCUACUGUCUCUGUAGCUCUGUACUGGGAGACAAGAAAUGACCAGUGUAUCGUCGUUGCUACCUUUUAAAAAAGAAACCCUGAGAUUUCAUCCCUUGUGUUUUUACACUUAUUUGAAAGUAUUUACCAUAUCGAAUUAAAAUACCACUCAUUUUUACGACCGGGUUUCCGUGCCCCUUUAAAUUUUUCCCUGAGGGAGUAACUCACGUCCUCAUCUUAACCCCACCAGCCUCAGAGUUAUCCAUUUGUUUGUUCAUUCAUUCAUUCAUUCACUCACUCUCUCACUCUACACCCAAUCAUGCGAUGCUCCUCUGGGCCAUGGCUGGGCACCAGGGGAGGGGAAUGGAGGCAAAACUCCCUCGCUCUGAAGAGCAAGGUGGGGGAAGUUCACAGGGACUCUAAGGCAGGACUAAAGCCAAAGCUGCCCCCAGGGAUCUAGAAUGCUCCCACUGCCUACUAAUUUGUCAACUUAGGUUUUCCAUAUCCUGGCGUAGCCUCCAAAACCCUUCUGGUUUGUAGGUGUUUUUAGAAAAAUACCACAAGGGGUCCCAAGGCUUGCAGAGGCCACCUGUAGCUGAUUUGCCUAAAGGCCACAUGCUGACAAGUGGUGCUUUCUAGGACCACCCAGCUCUGUCUGGCUCUGGGCACACACAUGCAGGGACACAGUCAUUGCUCCUUGUGUCUGCCUCCCCCAGAGAAGUCAGGGAGGAGGAUGUGGAGGAGGCCAGGCCGUUCCUGGCUGAGACCUGAAGGGCACGUGAGAGCUGGCCAGGAGACAGUGGGGUGCGAGCUUCUCUGGCAGAAAUAAAUGUCAUGGGGCACAAAUAAAUAGGAAGGACCAACAGCUCACUGCUACUUGGAGGCUCCCGACAGAGGCCGUCCAUUCCCGCAAGUACAGAGGUGCAGAAUACCUUCUUUUUGAGACAGAGUUUCUCGCUGGCCUGGAAAUCAGUAAGUAGACUAGGCUGGUCGGCCAGGAAGCCGCUGGCAUCUGCCUUUCUCUCUGCCUCCCCAAUGCUGGGAUCAAAAGCGUAUGCCACCAUACUUGGCCCUUUUCAUGUGGCUCCUGGGCCUUGGACCACGUGUUUGCUGACAAGCGUGUUGCACACUAAGCCACCUCGCCAACCCUUGUCUGUUGGUUUGCGUUUUGUUUUGCUUUGUGGUUUCUGGUUUCAACGUUUUACUCAACCCCUAAAAUUAAAGAUGUAGUUUUAAUGCUCUUAAUGUGUUAGUUUUGGGUUUCAGAUCUUUAACCUUUCUUGAAUUUGGAUAUAAAGAAACAAGUUAACUUGGAUGCACGGUCCCAUCGUUGACUAGAAGCUACCAGUCAGGAGCGUGCAGUCCCGCUAUGCCUCAGUGGCUGGAGACAGCCAUCCAACUUUCCAAGUUCUGACGCACUCGGUUAUAUAAAUUAUUGUUUCGUAUUUUGCUCUGAUCACAGUUAUUUAUUAGCAAAUGCUCGUCCCUCUUCUAUUCUACCUCUUGGGAUUCAGAAUCGGCUCGUUCAGGGCAUGAAAACCCCUUCUCUAUCCUUUACCACCAUCUCCCUGAGCCUCAGGAUUAGUCUCAGCACGCUGACCCCUGGAGACAGAGGGGGGACUUUCUCCCGUGCUAGCAUUGGCCUGGAGGGGCAGUCCUAGUCCCCUCCGGCUCUGACACUGGCCUGAGUAUCAGGGGGACAAACUCAGGUCAUCGGAAGGGUUUGUACCUUAAACAUUUCCAUGGCCCUGUCAAGUAAAUUAACCCUGAGCCUCUUGCUGUCCAUGCACUGAGUGGACGUUUGAGCACUUCCCUUGCCAAGUGCUCCGUUCGAGGCCGCCAAUGCACACUUCUUUAAUAAAUCUGGGUCUGAAUGGCUUGUGAAAUGGUUGUUUGCCCUCUCCUUGGGCAUAUUUCUUCAUAUGCUCCAGGAAUUUGGGUGUAGAAACAUUUCUGGUUUCCUACUCUUCUCCCUCUCUGCCACCCCCACCCUGCCCCUUUUCUCCGAGUUCCUCCUGUCUCUAUACUCACCCUUCAUCUUCAAAGACUAGUAAGCCUAACAAAAUGUUUUCAGACAGGGGCUCACUGUGUUGCCCAGGCUAGCCCCAAAUUCCUAGUCUGAAAUAAUCCAGCCUCACCCUCACUAGCAACUGGAAUUGAAUGCACGCCACGGCCCUGACUCAAUCCUUAUGGUCAAUGCCCCCUCCUACUUAUAUUCUGUACCAGUACUUGGGUUUAAUUAGCAUUUUUGUGUCCUCAUAAGGCUGGGCAGGUCCUCAGCCAGUUUUCAGUUCUCCUCUUACCCCCCCUACCUCCGCCCACUUCCCCACCUCAUAACCACCUCCCGUCUUAGUCAUCUGAGCUGUUGCCUGCCUCUUGCCUCUGCUGUG